UAGACCAAAAAUACUAGGACGUGAUUGAUCGGGUUCAGAAAGGUAAUAUUCUUCCCUCCCCGAUUCGUCAACUUACAACUAGGGGUAUGUAUAUAUAUGUAAAUAAAACAUAACAGGGGACUGUAUAAAAUAGAACGUAGUAACAAAUGAGGGUUUAUUCACAAUUAACCAAUUAAUUGUUCCGACGGAUAUUUCCCCCCCCCCCUCUGCUUCAAAACUACAGAGACAUGCCACUGUGGAGAGAGACGAGCGUGGAGCUGAGUUCAUUGAGGUCCAAGGGCCUUCAUCCUUGUUUGUACUUUUCUUGCCUACAAUUUAUUUUUUCAAUUCUUUUGCAUUUCCAUGUGGGGCCACAAUGUAUUUAGUAAUGGUCUUGUAUCUGAUUCUGCUUAAACUCUUCCCCUGACCAGGUGGCCAGUGCUGGAUAUGUUUCUGUGCAUUGAGAUCUAAAGGUAGCUUAGCUGUUUCUGUGCUAUUAAGGCCUUUCAGCUUUGAAGGGCGAAGGCGUCUUGAAGAGGUAGCGUUUCUUUGUUGCUGUGCUACUAACAAAGUAACAAGUUCACCUGCAUUUACUAUAUCUAGUUGGAGUUUUAUUUCUCUCUCUCUUUUUUAAUUUUUUUUUUUUUUCAAGUUGUGUGCAGGUUAAGGAAAUGGCUAGAAAACUGUAGCAACACACUAGAAAGAUGUGCUGGUUGCAAUAGAAGAUGCAGCAGACUCUACUGAUGUUAGAAGUUCCAGUCAGAGUGUUGAAGGACUAGAAAACUGACUCUGAGGAACGCCCAGGAGUUUCAGUUUCAGAGAGAAUGGUGGUAGUGAGUACCUAGUAAAAGAGGGGGAACCCUCAAGAAACAGUCGUCUGGAUCUUGGAGACGAAAAUAUAGAAGGUACAAUAAUUCUAAAGACAACUUUUCUUUACUGGUUUUUUUUGGCAUGUAUAAUUAUUGGUCGAGAUGCUUCGUUGCGGAUUCUAAAAGUGAAUGGAACAUGGCCUUUUGUAGAUUAUGGUGCUAUCCAGAGGGAGCCAAUUGCUAACUGGAGUAAGGAUCCGGGACAUCAAGAGUGAGCAGAAAUGGACAGCUGAUUCUGGAGACACUGCAGUGCUUAGCCUUGCUAUUGUAAACCUUCCUGUUGGUGUGAGACCUUCAAAGAAUUUGAACAGUAGUCUCAAGUCCUGUUCGUUUGGUUGCCGCAGGUUUCGGCGUCAGCGGCGGCGGCAUCGUCAAUGAGGACAGUUGUUGUUCGUUUCGCAGACGCUGACGCUGCCGCAUAUCAUAUCACGACCGCAGAUUUUAUCGGCGUCAGCCGCAGGACGCAGCGUUCGGACGCGGCGUCAGACGCAGCUUCCUGCGUCAACGAAACGAACAAGAGUUGACGCAGAAUGUUGACGCUGCCGCUGCCGCCGGUACCUGCGGCAACCAAACGAACAGCCCUUCAGUGUCAUCAAUCAACCCUCUAGGAAAGCUGAUUCCACAGAGAUGAAUCAUUUUCAACUCUAAUCGCUCGACAAAAGACUCGAGUAGUGAUACUGCAUCCACCCUGCUACCUGAGAAGUAUGCUGAUUUUACACAAAGCAAAGAAAUCUAUCUGCUCAUGCAGCGUCUAUGCUGGAAGCUGAAAGAGAUUCAUAAAAAAGAUGGAGUCCUAUUCUAGGAUGCAGUACAGAGGAGGAGGAAUGUUCAAGGGGAGAUGGCCUUCCUGAAGGAAAGGGAAACCGUCUUGUUGCCUUUCCUAUCACAGGGUCGUGUGGUAGUUGGAGAUGGAAGCAUAUAUGAUGGAAUGUGGCUAAAGGGUAAAAGAUGUGGUCUUGGAACAUUCUAUUCAAGAAUGGAGACGUGUUACAAGCCACAUGGCGAGAAGAUUUAACACACGGAAAGGGGUGGUUUUAUUUCAACAAAGGUGAUAGAUGGUUUGCAAAUUUCUGGAAAGGAAAUGCCAGCGGUGAAGGAAGGUUCUAUUCAAAGUCAGGUGAGAUAUUCUUUGGACAUUUCAAAGAUGGAUGGUGACAUGGACAGUUCCUCUGUAUAGAUGCUGAUGGGACAAGGCCAGUGACCCUUGCAAAACUCUUUAUAAUUAAAAUCAGAUAAAAGAGCAACUGUUAAUGCUUCUUUUUUUCCCCUCAGAUACUCUGAAACGUGGGAUGACGGUGUUCUUAUUGACCAGAAAAGAUGUUGUUUAGGCACAACAUAUAAGUUAUUGUUAUUGAGCAUCAUCAAAUGAAUCAUGAAGCCAAAACAUAUCUGCUAUUUUUUUUGUUGAUGGCUUUUCUACAAACUUGCUCUCAGAGAGUUGAACAUGUAUUUUUGUUGGUUUGUAUUUUUUUUAAUUAAAGAUCAAGGGUUUGUUAGUGUGUUUAUAUCAACAGAUGUUUUUUUUUGUUUUGGAAAUAUAUAUGGGAUUACUGAAAUUAAAUUUAUUGGAGAUGAAAGCGUAUGGUUCUUGAUUUCCUUUGUUAAAGAUAAAACUGUAUAUCAUAAGCAUAAUACGUAUAAAUAAAACAAUUUACUGUAAAUAAUGUAAAACUGAUAAAAUUAUUUGUUGUUAUUUGUUUUUGAAAUUAUUUGUAGUUUUUGUAGUUAUUGUGAAUGUGUGAUUUAGGUUCCCUUCCAUUAAUAAUAGGAGCACCAUUUGUUGGAGUAGAAUAGUAAACUAAAAGUAUAUUUCAAAUAAUUUAACAAACAAAUUUUUCUUUUUUGUAUUGUUAUACUUUAUUUGUUUAAAUCUUACAAUCUAUAUAUAUAAAAAUAUGUUUGCUUCACUCCUGUGCAUCCACGUCAGCGCCAGGUCAGAAAGUCGAGAGGUUUGUAGUGAUGCCACGUGUCCAGAGAGAAGAAACGCAGAGUUUCAUUAACAUCAUCUUAUUGGGCUUCGUUAUUUUACAUGUUAUUGGGCUGUGAUAAAGAAAGCGUAACUGGCCGGAUAAGUCUGAGUUUUGCUAACCCUAAUACGACAGCAGUGAAGAACGGAGACGCAUCCUAACGCCAUUGGUAACUGUUCAAUCCUGCUGCUUCCUCUAGACCCAUGAUUAUGCCUGGGAAGCGGGUCGGAUCCGCCCCGCUCAACCGCCCCGCCGCAGGUUAAACUCAUUUUUUCACUUGAAAAUUAUACCCGCAAGACCCGCAUGACCGGAUUUCGAUAACCACACCCGCUCCGCAUCAAACAAGCGGGUCUAGCGGGUUAUCCGCAAAAAAGUUCAAAAAGCCAAAAGAAAAAAAAAAGAAUACUUGCUUUCGAUCUACGCAGAGUCAAGAUUUGAUAGGGAUGAGUUUACGGUUUCUGAUUUGCAGAGAGUCAAAGGGUUGCUUUGGCGUUUGAAAGAGAUGAGUUUAGUUGAGAGAAUUAGUUUACGGCGUGAAAAGAAAUGUUUGUGUAAAGAAAUUUAGGUUUUAUGUGGAUCCUAUGUAAGAUGACAAACACGUUUAGUUAAAGUCAUUAAAACAACACACAUUCAUAAGAGUCAACACAGAAACAACACACACUCUAAUAGGUAUAACAUCAAAUCAGCAAACGCUUUACAUCUCUAUCACUCCUAAACGACACAGUAUCACCUUAUUCGACAUAAUCAAUUAAACACCAUAACUAAAUAAUAAUAAUUUUUGUUUAUUCUACUCAUCACCUUAUAUAUAAUUUCUCAUAACAAAAAAAUGAAUAUUAAAAAUAUUAAAAUGCGUAAUUGAACAAAGAAUAAUUUGAAUUGAUUUUAUAAUUGUUUGGCUACUUA